CCCCGCGCCCCCCGCCGGAUCGCCGGAUCGCCGCGCGCCCGCCCGCCCCGGCCCCGGCCCCGCCGCCCCCGGCCCGGCCCCGCCAGCGCCGGGGGCCAGGCUCCGCGCUCCCCUCUGACCCUCCGCCGGCGGCGGGGGAAGGGCUCGGAAGUCCACACUCGGAUGCCCGGCGGUGUCUUGGGAUCCUGCCGCGGGCACACCGUGUCCCCCACACACCCCCGCGUGGCAAGGCAACCUCCUCCAUUCACAAAAAUUUAUUUUAAAAAAGUUUCGCUUCUGUGACUGUGCUAAGCGAAGCGCACCCCCCACGCACACGCGCGCCCUUUCUGAUGGCAGAGCUGCCCCGCAAAGUGCUGCGGGCGCCCGGCGGUGAGGAGGAGAAUAAAAGAGGGAAAAGAAGACCAGCCUUAGAAAAAAAAGAAGCGAAUGUUUGGAAAUUCUGGCUGUUCAAAACAGGUGAACAAUUUAAGAGCAUUUCUAUUUCAAACAUUGAAAAUAUAAAAAAAAAAAAAAAGAUGAAGGGGAAAAAAGAGACACACCAAUCUGUUGUUUAGGCUCAAGAGAACAAAUUCCAUAAAUCCUAUCAUUUCAGACAUAAAAAUACUUUGUUCCCUCAAAGAUAUCAGUCAGCAACCUUGCAAUACAUGCCGUGAGAUUUAUUUAUCUUGCUAGAUUCUGUAAAAGCAGUUUUUGAACUUUCCAAGGUCUGCUUAUAAAACCCAUAAUUAAAAGGACUCUUUUCUCCUUUUUUUUCCCCACAAUCCCACAAACCAGUAGCAAAAUUCUAGUAACAGUUAUCAUAAUUCACUUUGGGGUCAUUCAAAUCUCAUGACUUAUAUAAUUUAUUCUGAUCAAAGCACCUUCUCUUACCUUGAUCAAAACCAAGAUGAAUCCAUACUCUGCCAAAAGUCUGUUUUUGAGUAAGUCAAAAAUGCCUUCAUCAUACAAAGAGUAAUUUUCCCUAAGCCAGGUAUUUUUAACUAAGCACCAACUUGAUGUCCUCUUUAAAGAAAAUUCCACUACAGAAACCUUUACACAUACACAAAUCAAAUGUUUUCUAUUUGCCUACUUGAUUAUCUCCUAGGCACCUGAGAUGUCCAAGUAUUUGUGCUCAUUUUCACUGGCAUGACUAUAGAAAGUUUUCUCUAUACUUAAAUAAAGCCCCUUGCACUAGCUUGGUUAAAAACACAUUUCUUCUCACAGUCAGAAGAGGUUCAUGAGAGAAUCUGUUGUUCUAUUGGAAUAAUCACUCUAUGCAUAUAGCCCCUUUGUAGGGAACUUUGCCUAGAUUUGCUUUCUCAAUUAUGAUUUCUAACUCAACUUGAAGACUUAACUGAAACUUUACUUCUACAAAGAAAUCAGAGAUUUAAAUUUGAAGUUCAAAAAGUAAUUUAUAAAUAAAGUUAUUACUUAACAGGGCUAUAUCAGGACCCUAGAAGAUCAUCCCAAGUUUAAAAAAGGGACUAUAAAUCCUCUUCUUCCUCCUUCUGAUUUGUACCAGGGCAUAGAAGCCAGAUACUUACAGGUUUGCCAAGGCAUUCUCCUUUCACUAUUUCUUUAUUAGGAUUAUGCACAUGAAGUCUAAUUUCCUCAUCUAGAGUAAAAAAGAAAAAGCGUGGGAAAAAAAAGAUAUGGCAAGUUGAGAAAUCAGGGACUGCCUUUUAUUUUCUCCCUUUUUUAAUAUUAAAAAAAAAAGCAUUUGGAAGUUCACACGUAAACUUCUGAGGUGUGUAAAGAUAUUUUGUUAAUUGUUAUGGUUUGAGAUUGCCCCCUCGGGAGCCAGGGAGGCUCAGAGGUGCCAGGGCAGUGUUCCCUGGGGGGCCAAUCACCGCUCGUCUUGUUUGCUCCUGCUGAAAAAUCAUAUAUACACAACAGGCAGAAGUUGUUGGCAAUCGGUCUGUGUCUGCUGCUGUGUGAGGGUGUAGAAGGCCAAGGGUUGGCAGGGCCUCCUUCUUCCCCCCUCCGGGGGAAAAGGGGAGCCCUGCAGCCCCACAACUCUGCCUAAGUCAGGGUUGGAGACAGCAUUGGAGUGAGUGUGUGUUGUGAAGGAAGGGAUUCACAACACCUGAGGUAAGAGGGAGAGAGAGAGGCAAGCUCCUUGCGAGGAGGCCAGGCCCUCUUUCCCCCCCCCCCCUUUCCAGCAAGACUGCAGAGCUCGGGACAGUUCAUAACUGGACCAGACACCUGUAGCAAAAGCUGAGCAGGGGCUUUUCCUCUCACUGUAAGUGGGAUUGGAUGCAAAGCUUAGUAUUUUGAAGCUGAGCCAAGAGACGGGCCAGAGGAGGAGGCUUGGCGCCAGGGAGAGAACUCCAGGCGAAAUUGGAGAGGGGCCAGAGAGAGGCUCGGGGGGUGCCCUGCCGAGGUUUGACCGGGAGCAUCCGAAAACAUGGAGGAGGAGUGAAGAUUCCAAAAUGCGUAUGUUGAUAAGCUGAACUACAGCAGCAUGGAACCAAGGUAUGAGAGUGAGAGAAUGACACAGCAGAGACUGACACGGAACCAAGGAGGACGGACUCAGGGCUAUCUUCUUGGACUUCAUGAAGAAGAAAGGAGUUCAGCAAAUGGCUGGAGGGUCCCCGAACACUCCCACGAGAGAGAGAGACUGGGUACCUAUCAGCCCGAAGAGUUUUUUCCUGCACUGAAUUGAGGGAGAAAGCUUAAAGGGACUGAUAGAAGUGUGUAAUAAUAUAUAUAUAGUUGCUUUUAGCUUGUAUAGUAUUUAUUUGUGUAAAUAAAAUGUAUAUACUUCCCCUUUCCCCUAUAGAAGCCUCUUGCCUGAAAGUUUCUCUUCGGUGUUGAGAUAAAAUUGUGGGAAGGGGUGAGCCUGGAAAUUGGAUUUUGGAUUUUUGUGGUGGCUCAAACUACCACAUUAAUAAACAUUGCAAAUUUCCCAAAGCUUUAUUUUUUAGGUGCUGGCUAUUUUUUCCAGUUGUAUUCUCAUCUCUAGCCUUUUGCUGCUGUAAUAGAUAAAGGAAGGAGGAGUGCUUGGUUUCUUACUGUGGAUGCCUCCAUGAUCAGAGCAUGUUAAAAGCUAUUGAGAAUUGCCUGCAGACCAUUUACUUGUCCCUGGAUUUUACCGGUUACUGAAAAAAGUUGAAUAGAUUAUCUAAGUAUGAUGCUAAACAUAGAGAAAUAUGCCACUAUCGCGCUUGCUUUAAUAGUUUAAUCGGGAUUGUUUGGCAUCUCUAAUCUUAACUGUUUUAUCUGUUGGGUGUGGGGAAACUCAAAAACAUGAACUUGAAACACACUUGAGACCUCGGCCCAUACAUAUACUUUCUUCUAUUACUGCUUAGUCUGUUUUUUAUUAGUGCAAUUUUUUCUCUGUAUCACUGUAUAUUGUAUACUAUGGAGAACCGGGGGCAAUUAAAGCUACUCAGUCCAUGGGCUCUAAAUAUGAUCCUCUCUUUUCUCUAACAGUAAUUGUGAAAUUCUCAUAGUUAUAAUCAUGGCUUUAAAAACCUUAAACUCAUCCUUCGCAGAGUUGUACAUUUCCUAUAGGCUGUCACAUAUUGUAUAAUAAGCAAACCAAUGGAAACUGUUGGAUGGAUGAGUGGGCUGCAGCUCCGUUUUUUUAAAGUGGUAGAUUGGAUAUUUCAUGUAAAAGAUAUUCUGGUGCUUUCCACAUAAAGUUUUUCUAGUUUCAAUGGAAGUAUUUUGCUAUAUUUUUCUCAGUUAAAUUUAUUAGAUGUUUGGUUUGGGUUUUUCUAUUUUCCAGCCAAGAAUUCCAGUUUCAGGUAUACCAAAAUGUAUUUCUAUUUGUUUUUCAAGUAUUUGCAAUUUCCUCCAAAAAAACCCAAACAAACCAAACCAACAACGAACAAAAAAAUGCACCACCCAAGUCUGAACAAAUCAAAACAUUUUUGAUUUGACACUUCAAAAAGACUAGGCUUCUUGUCACUUUGUCUUUGAUGCUUUUUUAAAAUGUUUGAAAACAGUAGGUAGAAGUAUUUCAUAUUACCUUAAAGGAUGGAUUUUAAAUUUAUAGAUAUUUUUGUUGACUGAGUUUAGAAAAAAAAAAAAACACCUUUCAAAUAUUUGUAACUCUCUCAAGAAAAGUCAGUUAUUCACAUAUUUUAAUAUGGAAUGAUCAGUGACUAAAAAGAAAGAGAAUUCUGGCCUAAUUUCUAGUAGUAACUAGUACGGUAACAAAGGAUGAUUGAACUAGAGCUUCUCUAAUUGUUUUAGCUUUCCUCCUUAAUAGAAAAGAGCACUGUAGUCUGCACUGAUUUUUUUAGAGCUCAGGUCAUUUAAAAAAAUUCCUGCAACAGCUUUAGAAAAGGAAUGUGAUGUUACCAUUUUCCAACUAAUGGUUGCUUCCUAAUGACUUUUGGUUCUUCAGAAGGCACCUGACAAUACAGAAAUAGUUUCUGCAUAAAUCAGUUAGGCUAUUCAGUAGUCUUUCCAUGCUGCUUUGCUGCAACAGCAUAGUAAGUCAAGACUAUUAGAGAUAAUUUAGUAAACUUCUAAAGGUUUCUAAUUUAUUCUGUGGCUCUUUCUAGCAAUAGGUCUUUUAUUGCAUCUGAUGCAGUCAGGUAAAUGUUGUGCAGUCUAUCAAAUUUUGCAAGCUCACUCGAAAGCUGUUAUCAGAGCCUAAAUUCAGAGUUUUCUCCUGAGAGCACAAGCACCUCCCUGAUCAGAGCUAAGAGAGACCAAAUAAUUCUGGCACUUAAAAAAACGCCCAAACAAAUAAAAACACAUAAUCUUUUAGGGAACUGAGCACUUCGGGAAAAUGCUGGAAUGGCAACUCAAAGAAGUAUCCACACUGUGCAUUUGAAAAGUAGCAGUUUAUGUUAGGUUUAAUAUAGCAAAGAAAUCUGUGCUGCCAGUACUGUCUGACAAACAUCUCUCAGCUUUUCCAAGGGGAACACGUCUAUGGCAAAGAGGGCAGUUGAGUCUUGAUGAGCAUUUAGGCUUAGGCUUCUGAGCAAAGACUGUCACCAUGAAAAGUAUUCUUGCCAACUGUAGUGGUGCUUUUGCAAGACCACUAAAUACAAUUUUUUUUUUCUGUGUGAAUAUAGCAUUUCUUAUAUUUUUCGUGCUUUCCAUAUGGACGUCAUCUGCUGUUCUGAAUGUUUAAUGGUGCAAUGUAAGUAUACAGAAACGUGUUCAGAAGCCAUUUCUUAUCUGUACAAUUAAGCAACUCUUACAAAAAUACUACACAUCACUUUAAGGUAAACUCACCUUGUCAUGAAUACAAAACUACAUUCAUCCUAUUUAUCACUGUUUAAAUAAAUCAAUAAAUAUCGGAAUGACAAGAAGAAAAA